GUGAAAAGUCGGGGAAAGAAAAAGUAAAAUGAGGAAAGUGCGAGAGAGACCGGAAUGCAGAGAGAAGAAGAAAGGAGGACUUUAAAGUACAGCUGCAGAGAUAACGGUUCUUCUGAUAAUCGAUUCAUCUGUCCGUCAUUUCUUCGAUUAAUCGCCUCAGUGGAUUGGAAGGCCAAUUUUGAACAACAACUUUAUGUCCCAUUCUGCUCGCCGUUGUCCUUCAAACACUGCAAGGCUAUGAGAAAGGGUUAAAUGGAUCUGUGGGCUAGGCUGUACAUCGCGCAAAGGAUUUCAAAAAUAUAUCAACAUUAUAUUUUGAAAACGGAAAAAACAAACAAGCUUUAAAGCAGAAGUUACAUCACUAUAUUUAAAAAAGAAGAACAAAAGCAGGAACGAAGUGUUACGUGAGCUACACACGAUACUCCACGUGAUCCCGACCCUUUCUGCUCUGCGGAUCUGCCUGAUCCAUCCUGAUGCCCUGCUUCUGGUCGGAGUUCUCAUCAGUUAGAAGUCACAUACUGCUGGUGAGGAUGGCCCCACAUGG